rnacentral:SRP_RNA from 1 species
AGGGUAGUCCUUCACGACCAGCUCCCUGCAAAUUCCCCCAGGUCUUGACCGAAGCAAGGGUAGUAGGUUGUAGCGGUGCGAUGAAGUCAGCUACCCUUUU